GGGUUUGAUCAUGGCUCAGAUUGAACGCUGGCGGCAGGCCUAACACAUGCAAGUCGAACGGUAACAGGAAGAAGCUUGCUUCUUUGCUGACGAGUGGCGGACGGGUGAGUAAUGUCUGGGAAACUGCCUGAUGGAGGGGGAUAACUACUGGAAACGGUAGCUAAUACCGCAUAACGUCGCAAGACCAAAGAGGGGGACCUUCGGGCCUCUUGCCAUCGGAUGUGCCCAGAUGGGAUUAGCUAGUAGGUGGGGUAAAGGCUCACCUAGGCGACGAUCCCUAGCUGGUCUGAGAGGAUGACCAGCCACACUGGAACUGAGACACGGUCCAGACUCCUACGGGAGGCAGCAGUGGGGAAUAUUGCACAAUGGGCGCAAGCCUGAUGCAGCCAUGCCGCGUGUAUGAAGAAGGCCUUCGGGUUGUAAAGUACUUUCAGCGGGGAGGAAGGGAGUAAAGUUAAUACCUUUGCUCAUUGACGUUACCCGCAGAAGAAGCACCGGCUAACUCCGUGCCAGCAGCCGCGGUAAUACGGAGGGUGCAAGCGUUAAUCGGAAUUACUGGGCGUAAAGCGCACGCAGGCGGCUUGUUAAGUCAGAUGUGAAAUCCCCGGGCUCAACCUGGGAACUGCAUCUGAUACUGGCAAGCUUGAGUCUCGUAGAGGGGGGUAGAAUUCCAGGUGUAGCGGCGAAAUGCGUAGAGAUCUGGAGGAAUACCGGUGGCGAAGGCGGCCCCCUGGACGAAGACUGACGCUCAGGUGCGAAAGCGUGGGGGAGCAAACAGGAUUAGAUACCCUGGUAGUCCACGCCGUAAACGAUGUCGACUUGGAGGUUGUGCCCUUGAGGCGUGGCUUCCGGAGCUAACGCGUUAAGUCGACCGCCUGGGGAGUACGGCCGCAAGGUUAAAACUCAAAUGAAUUGACGGGGGCCCGCACAAGCGGUGGAGCAUGUGGUUUAAUUCGAUGCAACGCGAAGAACCUUACCUGGUCUUGACAUCCACAGAACUUUCCAGAGAUGGAUUGGUGCCUUCGGGAACUGUGAGACAGGUGCUGCAUGGCUGUCGUCAGCUCGUGUUGUGAAAUGUUGGGUUAAGUCCCGCAACGAGCGCAACCCUUAUCCUUUGUUGCCAGCGGUCCGGCCGGGAACUCAAAGGAGACUGCCAGUGAUAAACUGGAGGAAGGUGGGGAUGACGUCAAGUCAUCAUGGCCCUUACGACCAGGGCUACACACGUGCUACAAUGGCGCAUACAAAGAGAAGCGACCUCGCGAGAGCAAGCGGACCUCAUAAAGUGCGUCGUAGUCCGGAUUGGAGUCUGCAACUCGACUCCAUGAAGUCGGAAUCGCUAGUAAUCGUGGAUCAGAAUGCCGCGGUGAAUACGUUCCCGGGCCUUGUACACACCGCCCGUCACACCAUGGGAGUGGGUUGCAAAAGAAGUAGAUAGCUUAACCUUCGGGAGGGCGCUUACCACUUUGU
rnacentral:rRNA from 1 species